UGGACGCCCUGCCCCCUCCCACAGCUCUGGUCCCCUUCAAGGGUAAAGCUGCUGAGAUACGUGGCUGACAGGAGUGUUCUGUCUCCUCCCCACUCAGGUCAACCAGAGCUGGCGCAAAGAGCGCAUUCUGAACGUGCCCCUGUGCAAAGAGGACUGUGAGCGCUGGUGGGAGGACUGUCGCACCUCCUACACCUGCAAAAGCAACUGGCACAAAGGCUGGAAUUGGACCUCAGGGAUUAAUGAGUGUCCGGCCGCGGCCCUCUGCAGCACCUUUGAGUCCUACUUCCCCACUCCAGCCGCCCUUUGUGAAGGCCUCUGGAGCCACUCCUUCAAGGUCAGCAACUAUAGUCGAGGGAGCGGCCGC
rnacentral:sRNA from 1 species